GCCGCCGUGGCGGAAUUGGCAUACGCACGACACUUAAAAUGUCGCGCCCAAAAGGCAUGUGGGUUCAACUCCCACCGGCGGCA
rnacentral:tRNA from 1 species